AUGGACAAGGAUGUUAGAACUGUGGUUAAAAUCUCAAUUCUGGAUGGUAUUAAUUAUGACAGUUGGAAACCUCAUAUGGAAACCUUUAUAAAAUCCUUGGGUUACAAGGCCUGGAAAAAAGUUAUUAAAGGACGGGAUCCUCCAAAAAUUUUGGAUGCAGAAGGAAAGGCCAUUGACGUGUUAAAACCUGAAGAAGAAUGGAAUGAUGCUGAUGAGAUAUCAGCUCAAGGAAACGCCAAAGCAUUAAAUUCCAUAUUUAGUGGAGUGGAUAAGAAUAUCUUCAAGAUGAUUAAAAAUUGA